rnacentral:rRNA from 14 species
UGAGGGAAAGGUGAAAAGAACCCUGAAUAAGGGAGUGAAAUAGAACCUGAAACCAUACGCUUACAAGCGGUCGGAGCCCAUUAGUUGGGUGACGGCGUGCCUUUUGCAUAAUGAGCCUACGAGUUAGUGUUGUUGGCAAGGUUAAUACAUUAAGUGUUGAAGCCGAAGCGAAAGCGAGUCUUAACAGGGCGAUCAGUCAGCAGUACUAGACGCGAAACUUGGUGAUCUACCCAUGACCAGGGUGAAGUGUAGGUAACACUACAUGGAGGCCCGAACCAGUUGACGUUGAAAAGUCUUUGGAUGAGUUGUGGGUAGGGGUGAAAGGCCAAUCAAACUCGGAAAUAGCUCGUACUCCCCGAAAUGCAUUUAGGUGCAGCGUUGAUUUAUAGUUUUAUAGAGGUAGAGCUACUGAUUGGAUGCGGGGGCUUCACCGCCUACCAAUUUCUGACAAACUC